rnacentral:rRNA from 1 species
GAGUUUGAUCCUGGCUCAGGACGAACGCUGGCGGCGCGCCUAACACAUGCAAGUCGAACGGAGUCAAGAGGAGCUUGCUUUUCUUGACUUAGUGGCGAACGGGUGAGUAACGCGUGAGUAACCUGCCCUGGAGUGGGGGACAACAGUUGGAAACGACUGCUAAUACCGCAUAAGCCCACGAUCCGGCAUCGGAUUGAGGGAAAAGGAUUUAUUCGCUUCAGGAUGGACUCGCGUCCGAUUAGCUAGUUGGUGAGGUAAUGGCCCACCAAGGCGACGAUCAGUAGCCGGACUGAGAGGUUGAACGGCCACAUUGGGACUGAGACACGGCCCAGACUCCUACGGGAGGCAGCAGUGGGGAAUAUUGCACAAUGGGGGAAACCCUGAUGCAGCGACGCCGCGUGGAGGAAGAAGGUCUUCGGAUUGUAAACUCCUGUUGUUGAGGAAGAUAAUGACGGUACUCAACAAGGAAGUGACGGCUAACUACGUGCCAGCCGCCGCGGUAAUUC